rnacentral:rRNA from 1 species
UUGGCGGACGGGUGAGUAACGCGUGGGGAACCUGCCCUGUACAGGGGGAUAACACUUAGAAAUAGGUGCUAAUACCGCAUAAGCGCACAGUAUCGCAUGAUACAGUGUGAAAAACUCCGGUGGUACAGGAUGGAUCCGCGUCUGAUUAGCUGGUUGGCGGGGUAACGGCCCACCAAGGCGACGAUCAGUAGCCGGCCUGAGAGGGUGAACGGCCACAUUGGGACUGAGACACGGCCCAAACUCCUACGGGAGGCAGCAG